UAAAUUGGAGAACAUGGGUUUAAUUCUCCUUAAAUCGGCAGCUUUGUUCUUUAGUCUCCCAAAAAUCCGUCUCCAUAUCCUCUCGUGUUCUUGAACCCAAAUCUUCUCCCAUAUGCUUCAGUAGGUUGGAUUGAAAUGUGUCGACAUCGGAAAAUAACAUGUGAUGUUUUUUUGUCAUGGAUUUUCUUCACUGCAUUCUGCAUUCAGGCUAUUUAUAACAGGUAGAAUAAUGAAAGUUGGGGUUUUGGGUUUUUGAUAAUUAGCAUUUUUGAAGAAGUGGAGAAGAUUGUCGUUAUGUAAGCUGUAUAGGAAGUUCAUUGAUUUAUAUUGAAAGAGUUUGUGUAUUUAAUAUGACUACCAAAAUCAUCUAACAAGGAGAAUGGGUAAUAUGGUAUUAGUGGCUUGUGAACCGGAAGCAAAUACAUGAUGAUACAAUCUAAAUAUGUUGUUGAAGAAGACUACUAUCCAGGCCUGCUUAUUGCUGUAACGAUCAUUGGUUUCAAGGGUCCUUAAAAUCUGAGAGUCGGCCCUGAUUGCAAUAUUAAUAAUCAUAUACACCUGAUCUAUUUAAGUUUAUCACAAAUAGACUUGCUAGAAUGGUCCCAUCGAAAGACCAAAGUUGUUGAUCACUCUGUCAAAUUUA